CGGAGUAUAGCGCAGCCUGGUAGCGCACCUGCUUCGGGAGCAGGGGGUCGCGUGUUCGAAUCACGCUACUCCGA
rfam:Pelagibacterium sp. SCN 64-44 ABS76_C0003, whole genome shotgun sequence.